UUGGAGGGCAAGUCUGGUGCCAGCAGCCGCGGUAAUUCCAGCUCCAAUAGCGUAUAUUAAAGUUGUUGCAGUUAAAAAGCUCGUAGUUGAAUUUCGAGAUCAGUACGCUGGUCGUGCCUUCGGUAUGCACUGGUGUCACUGGUUUCUCCCUUCUGGAGAACCGUCAUGCCAUUCAGUUGGUGUGGCGGGGAAUCAGGACUGUUACUUUGAAAAAAUUAGAGUGUUUAAAGCAGGC
rnacentral:rRNA from 1 species